ACUCAAAGGAAUUGACGGGUGCCCGCACAAGCAGUGGAGUAUGUGGAUUAAUUCGACGCAACGCGAAGAACCUUACCAGGGCUUGACAUCCUACUAACGAGGUAGAGAUACGUUAGGUGCCCUUCGGGGAAAGUAGAGACAGGUGGUGCAUGGUUGUCGUCAGCUCGUGUCGUGAGAUGUUGGGUUAAGUCCCGCAACGAGCGCAACCCUUAUCAUUAGUUGCUACGCAAGAGCACUCUAGUGAGACUGCCGUUGACAAAACGGAGGAAGGCGGGGACGAGGUCAAAUCAUCAUGCCCCUUAUGUCCUGGGCUUCACACGUACUACAAUGGCGGACAUACAACGGGAAGCGAAGCCGCGAGGUGGAGCAAAUCCCAAAAAAGCCGCCCCAGUUCAGAUUGCAGGCUGCAACUCGCCUGCAUGAAGUUGGAAUUGCUAGUAAUCGCGAAUCAGCAUGUCGCGGUGAAUACGUUCCCGGGCAUUGUACACACCGCCCGU
rnacentral:rRNA from 1 species